UCAGGAAAGUNUGGAGUAAAAGGCUAUGGCUCAACCAUAGUGUGCUNUGGAAACUGUCUGACUUGAGUGCAGAAGGGGAGAGUGGAAUUCCAUGUGUAGCGGUGAAAUGCGUAGAUAUAUGGAGGAACACCAGUGGCGAAAGCGGCUCUNUGGUCUGUCACUGACGCUGAGGCUCGAAAGCGUGGGUAGCGAACAGGAUUAGAUACCCUGGUAGUNCACGCCGUAAACGAUGAGUGCUAGGUGUUAGGCCCUUUCCGGGGCUUAGUGCCGGAGCUAACGCAAUAAGCACUCCGCCUGGGGAGUACGACCGCAAGGUUGAAACUCAAAGGAAUUGACGGGGGCCCGCACAAGCGGUGGAGCAUGUGGUUUAAUUCGAAGCAACGCGAAGAACCUUACCAGGUCUUGACAUCCCGAUGCUAUUCUUAGAGAUAGGAAGUUACUUCGGUACAUCGGAGACAGGUGGUGCAUGGUUGUCGUCAGCUCGUGUCGUGAGAUGUUGGGUUAAGUCCCGCAACGAGCGCAACCCUUAUUGUUAGUUGCCAUCAUUAAGUUGGGCACUCUAGCGAGACUGCCGGUAAUAAACCGGAGGAAGGUGGGGAUGACGUCAAAUCAUCAUGCCCCUUAUGACCUGGGCUACACACGUGCUACAAUGGUCGGUACAACGAGUUGCGAGCCGGUGACGGCAAGCUAAUCUCUGAAAGCCGAUCUCAGUUCGGAUUGGAGGCUGCAACUCGCCUCCAUGAAGUCGGAAUCGCUAGUAAUCGCGGAUCAGCACGCCGCGGUGAAUACGUUCCCGGGCCUUGUACACACCGCCCGUCACACCACGAGAGUUUGUAACACCCGAAGUCGGUGAGGUAA
rnacentral:rRNA from 1 species